ACACACUCCCUCCUGAGAGCAGCCCGAGAGUCCUGUCUUCAGGAGGCAAUACUUAGCACUCCUCAUAGCACUGGGUGCGGCACGGGGCAGGGCCUGGGGCAGGCGGUGCGUGGUGACACCUCUGGGCUGACGGCCUGUUCUGUGGAUACAAACAGCGUGGAAGAGAAAGUGGCUUCAAAUCAACACAACUCGGCUUCAAAAAGCAAAUCCCUGGGAUGCCCUCCUGCCUUCAGCCUGAAAACGGCCAGCGCGAUGCUGCCGCUUCUGUGGUCCGUGCGGCCUGCCUUCUCCAGCGGGGUCAGGCGGGGCGGUCCUUGCCCCUGCAGCCCACCCCAGCUCCGGCAGUGCUGGGAACGCCAGCGGCUCCUCCGCCUUAGGAACCAGAGGUGGCUGCCUUUGUCCCUCAUCAUGCAGCCCAGAGCCAGGAGGUCUGUGUCCAGGGAUGUUCCCUGUGUCCAGUUCAGGGCCAGGGGGUCUGUGCGGAGAUGUUCCCUGUGUCCAGUUCAGAGCCGGGGGUUUGUGUCUGGAGAUGUUCCCUGUGUCCAGUUCGGGGCCAGGGGGUCUGUGUGCGGAGAUGUUCCCUGUGUCCAGUUCAGGGCCGGGGGGUGUGUGCGGAGAUGUUCCCUGUGUCCAGUUUGGAGCCGGGGGUCUGUGUCCGGAGAUGUUCCCUGUGUCCAGUUCAGAGCCGGGGGUCUGUGUCCAGGGACACUCCCCUCUGUCCAGUGUGAGGCGCGUGGGCCGGCUGGAGGUCCCUCCCCGAAGGUCUGUCUCACAGCUGUGGGUGCCGCAGCACUGGGACCAGGCUGCACCCACCGGUCUGGGCCUCAGGUUCUGAGGGCUGCUGCUGGUGCCUGGGCCAGGGAAAGGCACGGUGGGAGCUGGUCUCCGGCUCAGAGAUGCCCAGCUGCUGGCUCAGGCUGGGCCGCAGGAGCCUGUUGUUCCUGCAUCCGCCUGUGGUGUUAGCGUGUGUGAUGUGUUAGCAUGUGUGAUGUGUGUUAGUGGGUGUGGUGUGUGUUGGUGGGUGUGGUGUGUGUUGGUGUGGUGUGUUAGUAUGUGUGAUGUGUUUUGGCAUGUGUGAUGUGUUAGUGUGUGAUGUGUUAAUGUGUUACCUGUUAGCAUGUGUGAUGUGUGUUUGUGUGAUGUGUGUUAGCGUGUGUGAUGUGUGCUUGUGUGAUGUGUUUUCGUGUGUGUGAUUGUUAGUGUGUGUGAUGUGUGCUUGUGUGAUGUGUUUUAGCACGUGUGAUGUGUGUUAGUGUGUGAUGUGUGUGUUAGUGUGUGAUGUGUGUUAGCGUGUGUGAUGUGUGCUUGUGUGAUGUGUUAGUGUGUGUGAUGUGUGCUUGUGAUGUGUUUUAGCACGUGUGAUGUGUGUUAGUGUGUGAUGUGUGUGUUAGUGUGUGAUGUGUGUUAGCGUGUGUGAUGUGUGCUUGUGUGAUGUGUUUUCGUGUGUGUGAUGUUAGUGUGUGUGAUGUGUGCUUGUGUGAUGUGUUUUAGCACGUGUGAUGUGUGUUAGUGUGUGAUGUGUGUUAGCGUGUGUGAUGUGUGCUUGUGUGAUGUGUUUUCGUGUGUGUGAUGUGUGUUUGUGUGAUGUGUUAGCGUGUGUGAUGUGUGCUUGUGUGAUGUGUUUUUGUGUGUGUGAUGUGUUAGUGUGUGUGAUGUGUGUUUGUGUGAUGUGUGUUAGCGUGUGUGAUGUGUGCUUGUGUGAUGUGUUUUUGUGUGUGUGAUGUGUUAGUGUGUGUGAUGUGUGCUUGUGUGACGUGUUUUAGCACGUGUGAUGUGUGUUAGUGUGUGAUGUGUGUUAGUGUGUGAUGUGUGUUAGCGUGUGUGAUGUGUGCUUGUGUGAUGUGUUUUUGUGUGUGUGAUGUGUUAGUGUGUGUGAUGUGUGCUUGUGUGAUGUGUUUUCGUGUGUGUGAUGUGUUAGUGUGUGUGAUGUGUGCUUGUGUGAUGUGUUUUAGCACGUGUGAUGUGUGUUAGUGUGUGAUGUGUGUUAGUGUGUGAUGUGUGUUAGCGUGCGUGAUGUGUGCUUGUGUGAUGUGUUUUCGUGUGUGAUGUGUGUUAGUGUGCAAUGUGUUAGCGUGCGUGAUGUCUCACUGCUGUUCAAGUGGACAUUAGCAUUGUCAGGUGGCCUCUGCAGUGUGGGGGUUCCUCUGGUCUGAGCUUGGCAGCCCCUUACCUCAGAGUCCAGGCCUCCUGUGUGUCCUCCAGAGAUAGUUCUCAUGGCAGCACUGGCUGCCCGAGCCCCCAGAGAUGCACUGGGCCCAGCCGCCAUCUUCACAAAUGGUGAACCUCUCCCUUCAAACCACACUGUAGGCACAGGCAGCUGCUGCAAGGCUGAGUCUCUGUGGAAUCCCUUCCUCUCCGAAGGGGCCUGUGAACCGUGACCGAGGGCAGUGAGGAGGGAUCUGGAGAAUCUCAGGGCGCGAGGACACUGGCGGGGCAAGUACGGGGGCAAACCUGCAGGGGCAGCUGCCAGGAGCCAAAAUCAGGGUCAACCUUUCCGUGAGGUGCUUUUGUGCAAACUGAUGUUUAGCUCCUGACUUAAGUAAAAAACAUCCUUACGUCUUAGGUACAUUUGUAAAACCUGGGUUUUAUAUGUGAUGGAAAUAAUGUACCAUCAGUAUUGCAGCGUUGCUAAAACAGGGCAAGGUUUUCUAUUAUGGGGUGACCCUGGGGUCUUCUAUUAUCAGGGUGACCCUGGGUCUUCUAUUAUCGGGGUGACCCUGGGGUUUUCUAUUAUCGGGGUGACCCUGGGGUUUUCUAUUAUGGGGUGGCCCUGGGGUCUUCUAUUAUGGGGUGGCCCUGGGGUUUUCUAUUAUCGAGGUGACCCUGGCUCCCGUGGCAAAUGCUGUCCCCAGUAGCACGUGGGGCUCUUCAGCUUAUCUGAGUGCCGCGUCUCCAUGGGCGGCAAUUUCUCGGAGGCCUGGCACGGCGGCACCGGAAGCGGGUACUGGUGCCCUAAGGAGCGGGAGGGUCAACGUCCGGGGCCUGCCCUGCACUCGCCGAGGUGAUGGGUUGGUUAGAGGAGCCACAGUUCCUCUCCGUGCACUCACGUGAAUUACGCGCGGUGACUCAGCAGCCCCAUGACGUCAUGGCUCUGAGCGAGCGGCCGAGCGUCGGUGCCCCAGUCCAGCCCUUGCUGUUCCUUCACACUCACGUUUCCAAGCUGAAAACGCGAGGGGCUCAAAACUGGAAAGGAAAACAGCGUGGUCGGCCUCUCGUUCCUGCGACGCGUUCUGUGGGUGAUGGAAAGAUGGGGGAGGAGGAGGGACCACCCAGGGUGCCCCCCGCCGACCGUUACCCGCCCUUUGCCCCAAGGCUGUCUUUGAGGUCGGUCUUUCUGGGGCUGUGGCCCAAAUGAAGUCAAGAGACAGCAUCGGGCGUUGACUGUCCCCUCGUGUGGGCCGGGCACCGACCCUGCCUGGGGUUGCUGGGCACCAGCGCUCGUCACAAUAAAAAACCCACAGUGAAGAUGGGUCAGGGGUUUGCACUGCGCCAGGUCUGCUCAUCCCCAAAGCCACGGUUUUCCCAUCGCAGGUGGUCUGGAAGCACCAGACGGCGCGCGUGUGGGGUGGCCAGCGACGGGCUGCCACGGAGGUGUGCGACCUGCAGGCCACAGACAUUCCCAGAGAGCCCCUGCGUGCAAAACAUGGACACACAGAUGUUUGUGAAGCUCUGGGAUGGCGUUUAGCAGGAGGAAUAACGGGGUCUUCAGAGAAUCAACAAAAUAAAUGUAGCACCUGUUGGGUUAUUGAAACCAGUUGUUAUUAGGAAGGGAUCUGGGGCAAUUGAUGAAGAAACAGGAAGACGACAAAACUCAAGGUCCAAGAAUGAGGAAGCCGAGGAAGAAUGAGGAAGCCGAGGAAGAAUGAGGAAGCCGAGGAAGAAUGAGGAAGCCGAGGAAGAAUGAGGAAGCCGAGGAAGAAAGCAGCCGCCGUGUGGAGCCGCCCAGAGACUGGCACUCACCUGUGUCACUGUGCGGGGAGGGCAGGGUCUCGCCAGCAGCCGGUGGCACAUGCGGGCGGCACGGGGGCUGCGUGGUGGCCUCUGUGAUGUCACCUGGCAGAGGUGCCUGAGCUGGGCCCGGCGUGGAGGGCAUAGGCCUCACUCUCUGACUGCCUGACAGUCCCUACAGUGAGCGGGACCCCCUUAUUAAGGCUGUGGGGCAGAGUGGGGUGACAGGUGUUGAGGGGUGGGGCCCAGCCCCGGGCACCCGCAUGUUCCUCUCUGCCCCUGGGAGAAGUGUUGAGAGACGGAGCUCGGGAUCAGCUGGCAUAUCCACCAUGUUCCAGGGUCGACCAGGGAGCACAGAGCCCUGAACAUCCCUUCAACAGCGCGCCACACGCUCCUGGCACAAACUCCAGACCACGGCACAGCACCCAGAUGGCUGCAGCCACGCAGAAACCCACAACUGCCAGGACCGUGGGGUGACAGCCACGGUGGGCUCUGCAGGCCCCUCUGGUCUAAGACACCAGGAGGCCACAUCCAGCAACCAAGGCCACCCGGCAGGACACGUCAGGAUGGAGGUGCAGUGAAGACUGCGGUGGACGCCUCCAGAGGUUCCCACUUGGCUUCCAGUGGAGCCUCUGCCAAACCCGGCCUGUGCAAGGGCAGAGACAAGGCCCAGCAGGGCUCGAGCAGGCCCAAACGCACGACGCAGCUGCUGUGCCUGGGUCUGAGCUGCACCCACAGUUUUCCUGGCGUCUUGUCCUCUGGAUGGGCCUCUGGAUGAACAUAAACUCCAGGGAAGCUGCAUAGAAUAUGCAGCUCUUCUUUAACGCUCCCUAGAGGAAGAAAGCCCCUCAGCCGGAAGUAUUGUUGACGUCGCCGCCACUACUAAUGAAAUAUUUACUGAAAAGCCAAAGCGAAACAUUUUUCUAGUUAAUUAAAACAGUGCAUCUUUCAAGCAAGCUCCCUCGAGGGGCCAGGCUCGGACGGACCCAGCGGGCAGGCAACCCGAGGUGCUCCUGAGUGGGGUCUCGACUGGGAAGGGGGCGCCCAGGACGCAGGUGGGGUUCCUGCCACACGACACUGAGGGGUGGGGGGACAGACGCUGCAGAGACCCUGCGAAAGGCCCCUCCCGAUGGGUAAACUCACACUUGGUACACGCUGGCAGGGGCAUCUGGGCCUGCACUCUGGAAUUGGUGGUGGUCCUGGGAAGGUUUUUUGGGCCAGGGACAAGAGUACUUGGGUUUGCUUUCUGGAAAAAUGAAAAAAGAGAAGUUUC